ensembl:lncRNA
GUCUGAUGCCAUCACCACAGCAACCUAGCAUGGAGUCACUUAUGGCUGAAUGAAGAGCUGGUGCCGCCCAGAGCCGGAAAAAAACAACAGAAAAUGCCGGUUUGGGUGCAUGCUUGGAACUCCAACCCAGCAGAGAGUAAACAUGGACACCUGGAGCAGAACACUGCCUUACUUGAAUGCUGUACUUGAAUGGGGGUGGGCAUGCAGUUCUGCUUCCAAGGCCAUCUUGUCAAAGGUGCGCAUGUUCGUCUCCUCCCGUACCUUUUCCCGGACAUGGAAAGACGCCCGAGCGACAGACCUGGCAUUUUCUAGCACAGUCGUCUUCUCCUUGAAGAUCUGCUCGCUCCUCUCCAGCUUCCUCUCUAUAGAGAGGAGAAUCUCCCUGCGCCGCAAGUCCUCAUACUGUUCCACCUUUUGCUUGUUCAUCUUCUGCACUUUCUCCUUCUCCAGACGGCUCAGGACCACCUUGCGGGCUUUUUCUUGGACAGCCUCUUCAGCCACCUGGGCAGCAUGCUGGAGCUUUCUCUCUGUCUCUCUAGCCAGGGCCUCCAAGUGCUCCUUCUGCUCCCUUUCCUUCUUCUCUGCUGCCAGUUUGGCUCGCUGAAUCUGCAUGUCCUCCCGCCUGGCCUUCUCCCUCAGCUCCUGGUUCCUCUUCUCCACUAGCUGUUCAUAGUUCUCCUGAGCCUUCGUCAAACUCAUCUCCAGGGAGGCCUUCAGCAUUUCCUUCUCUUCUGCCUCUUGCUUGGCCAGUUCCUUGAGCAAGGCCUCAUGCUUCAGCUUCUCCGCUUGGUUGAGCAGUUUCUUUUGCUUCUGCAGCUGCACCUCCUUCUUCAGUCUCUUCUGCGCAGCUGUGGACAGCUUCUCUUGCAGGAGCUGCUCCUCUCGCUCCCGGUGCUCCUUCUUGCCCUCCUCCUUCGCCUUCAGGUUGUGCUCUUGAUGGAGCUUCUUCUGCUUGUCCUCUCGGAUGGCCCUCUCCAGCCUCUCCCUCCGCAGCCGCUCUUGCUUCUCCGCUUGCUCCCGCCACCUCUCCUCGCACACCAUGCGCUGCCUCUGCUUCAGCAGGGCGGCUUCCUCCUGCUCCUGGCUCAGCCUCCCCCUGCGCUUCUCCACCUGGCUCUCCCACAUCCGCUGGCCCUGCAGGAGGGCCCUCUGCUUCUCCUUCUCCUCCUGCUCCUUCCGCUGCUCGGCCAAGCGCCGCUGGCUGUCCCACUGCAGGUGGGCCGCCUGCCGCUGCUCCCGCAGGAGGCUGGCCUCCUGGUGCUUGGCGAUCAUCAGCGCCGCGAUCUUCUUGUCCCUCUUGGGCACCUCCGAGAGGCCCUUCCUCCUCCUCACCUCCCUGACGAUCCUCUCCACCCGCUGGGCCGUCUCGGGCGAGUGGCUGAGGUCGCCCAGGCUGAAGCUGCGCCCCAGCAGGGAGCCGGCAGCGGCGGCAGGCCCCCCCCGGCCCCGGCCGCCCACCUUGCCCCCCCGCUCCCGCAGGCUCUCCCCGCUGUAGGAGGACGAGGCCCCCGACUCGGACGAGGUCUUGCCCCAGCUGCCCUCGCGGCGCUUCUGCAGCGAGUCCAGGGAGUGGCUCUUGGCCUUGGUGCCCGCUGGUGCCCCGGCCUUCCCCCCGCCAUGGGGCCCGGGUGCCCCGGCCUUACCCCCACCAUGGGGCCCGGGUGCCCCGGCCGCGGCAGCGCGGGGGGCGAGGCGGGCGGCGGGCGAGGGCGGCAGGCUGCCGAGGGGCGCGAGGAUCCGCCUCUUCUCCUCCCGGAUAAUCCUCUCCCGCUCCUCCCGGCACUGCUGCAGCUUGCGGCGGCGCUCCCGCUCGUAGGCCUCGUAGAGGCCGGCGGCCACCCGCAUGGAGCGCCCGGGGGCCUCCCGCAGCAGCUCCCCCAGCGCCCGCGGCAGCAGCUCCACCGGCCGCACGGCGCAGCGGGCGCAGGCUUCCAGCGACCGCGGGCUGGUCAGCACGUACCGGCUGCCCUCCGCCGCCGCGCAGUCGAAGUUGUACAGGUCCAGGUGCAGCAGCGGCGACUGCUCCCCGGGACGGGCCGCCUCUGCCCCCGCCGCCGCCGCCGCUGCCCCCCCGGGCGCCGGGCAGGGCUGCGGGGGAGGCUCAGCCGGCGGCUCCACCAUGGCUCGGCCUGCAGGGGAGAGAGCGGCGGCGGGUAUAGCUUAAUCUGCUUUGCUUUGACAAGAAAGGACAUGGCACUCACCAAAGGAUUGCCAGGAUGGGCCAGGACAAGUGUACAGAGCAACAGAAGGACCCAAGAAAGGCCUAGGGAGUCCUUGUCAGAAAGCUGA